rnacentral:rRNA from 1 species
AUUGAACGCUGGCGGCAGGCUUAACACAUGCAAGUCGAACGAGUGGCGGACGGGUGAGUAAUGUUUGGGAAACUACCUGAUGGAGGGGGAUAACUACGGGAAACGGUAGCUAAUACCGCAUACCAUAGGAUGUGCCCAAGUGGGAUUAGCUAGUUGGUGGGGUAAUGGCUCACCAAGCCGACGAUCCCUAGCUGUUCUGAGAGGCGGACCAGCCACACUGGAACUGAGACACGGUCCAGACUCCUACGGGAGUCAGCAGUGGGGAAUAUUGCGCAAGGGGGGCAAGCCCGAUGCAGCCAUGCCGCGUGAAUGAAGAAGGCCUUCGGGUUGUAAAGUACUUUCUGUGGCGAGGCGUUACCCACAGAAGAAGCACCGGCUAACUCCGUGCCAGCAGCCGCGGUAAUUC